UACGUAGGCAGCAAGCGUUGUUCGGAGUUACUGGGCGUAAAGAGUGCGUAGGCGGUGUCGAAAGUUUGGCGUGAAAUCUCCCGGCUUAACUGGGAGGGUGCGCCGAAAACUGCGGUGCUGGAGUGUGGGAAAGGCAAGCGGAAUUCCUGGUGUAGCGGUGAAAUGCGUAGAGAUCGGGAGGAACACCAGUGGCGAAGGCGGCUACCUGGACCAGCACUGACACUGAGGCACGAAAGCGUGGGGAGCAAACAGG
rnacentral:rRNA from 1 species